UGAGCAGCAACUGCAGUCACAAGACAGGUGUUUACAUUCCACAGUCUGUACUGUUGGAGUUUCUCACGGGAAAGGGAGACUGGAUGUGACGUACACUGGUUUCCUGUUUUUCACUCUGUGUUUCUCUCCAAGCUGUCGAGGAGAGAGGAUGCAUUUUUCUGCUCCUGCAGAGGCAAGAUGUCUUUCUGUAAUAUACCAGCUUUGAACUGUAAAUAAAGCAAUAUAGAGUAUGUACCACGUAUUACUCAUCCUUCCGCUGGCCACGACAGACUCUGCUUAAAUCAACACGUGGUUAUGGGCUCCAGAGGUCGAAUCGGAGUGCCGGCAGAUCGGAAUGCAGAGGGACGGAUCGGAACGGAAUCUGCUCUGCGCGUCGAAGUGAUUGAUGAGGUAUGUGCUACUGCUCCGGGCAGCCUGCCAGCUUCAAGUUAAUGGCUUUAUGGCUGGACUUUGAACUUUUAAAGCCGGUUUUGCCGGGAAUAGGCAAAAGGCUCCCAGGCACAAGUCACUAUGCUGGGGAAAUCGAAAGUAACUUUUAAGUGUGC